rnacentral:rRNA from 1 species
AACGAACGCUGGCGGCAUGCCUAACACAUGCGAGUCGAACGAGACCUUCGGGUCUAGUGGCGCACGGGUGCGUAACGCGUGGGAACCUGCCCUUAGGUUCGGAAUAACUCCCCGAAAGGGGUGCUAAUACCGGAUAAUGUCUUCGCACCAAAGAUUUAUCGCCUUUGGAUGGGCCCGCGUUGGAUUAGCUAGUUGGUAGGGUAAAAGCCUACCAAGGCGACGAUCCAUAGCUGGUCUGAGAGGAUGAUCAGCCACACUGGGACUGAGACACGGCCCAGACUCCUACGGGAGGCAGCAGUGGGGAAUAUUGGACAAUGGGCGAAAGCCUGAUCCAGCAAUGCCGCGUGAGUGAUGAAGGCCUUAGGGUUGUAAAGCUCUUUUACCCGGGAUGAUAAUGACAGUACCGGGAGAAUAAGCUCCGGCUAACUCCGUG